rnacentral:lncRNA from 1 species
CCUUUUCCAUGUAAAUUACUAUUUUCAACUUUGUAAAGAUCUAUGGAGUCUUGUCAUUUGUAUACUACCAUUCCAUUAAAUAAAGUUGAGCUUUUAUCCAAUUGCUUCUAUUGGUGUAAGCCCUAGAGGCCAAUACUUUUGGUACUUAUAUCGAAUUAUUUAUAAAUAAUAAAAGGCUUUUUAUUUAUUAUGUUUGUUUAAUAAAGUCCCUAGAAUGGAU